rnacentral:rRNA from 1 species
AGUGAACGCUGGCGGUAGGCCUAACACAUGCAAGUCGAGCGGCAGCACAGUAAGAGCUUGCUCUUACGGGUGGCGAGUGGCGGACGGGUGAGGAAUACAUCGGAAUCUACUUUUUCGUGGGGGAUAACGUAGGGAAACUUACGCUAAUACCGCAUACGACCUACGGGUGAAAGCAGGGGAUCUUCGGACCUUGCGCGAUUGAAUGAGCCGAUGUCGGAUUAGCUAGUUGGCGGGGUAAAGGCCCACCAUGGCGACGAUCCGUAGCUGGUCUGAGAGGAUGAUCAGCCACACUGGAACUGAGACACGGUCCAGACUCCUACGGGAGGCAGCAGUGGGGAAUAUUGGACAAUGGGCGCAAGCCUGAUCCAGCCAUACCGCGUGGGUGAAGAAGGCCUUCGGGUUGUAAAGCCCUUUUGUUGGGAAAGAAAAGCAGCAGGUUAAUACCCCGCUGUUCUGACGGUACCCAAAGAAUAAGCACCGGCUAACUUCGUG